ACAGGGAGAAGAGUUAGUCUAGAGGUGUAAAAUUGGGUCUACCACUCCUGAUCAUAUGCACACAGGAGUUAAUCUACUCAUAAGGCACCCUACUGGGAAUGGGAGAAGAGUUAGUCUAGGGGUGUAAAAUAAGGUCAAUCACUCCUGAUUUUAAGCACACAGGACUUAAUCUACUCAAGCAGCGUUUACCUUCUAUAGUUGCAGAGGAACAAAGUGAAUGGAAAGAUGACAAGGAAAGUAAAAGAAAGUUAACAGAAGAGCAACAAGAAAAAACAGCAAUAGUUUUCCAGUUGCUUAAUGAUAGUUAAACCGUUUACAGUCAUAAUGACAAAACAUCUCCGCAAUCAAACAUGAAGGGCAGUCAUGUUGACUCCCGGGACAGGACGCCGCACGCUACUAGUGGUCCACCGUCCAGUUCAAACACGCUGCAGCCAUAAUCCAAAACACUUGACGCAUCGUCCACGUCUAGAUUGCAGUCAUGUUGUGAUUCUGGUUGAAGUCUAAUGGACCACUAGGAGCCAGGUCGUGCAUACGUCCAUGGACAUGGUUCUCAGGUGGUAGGAACUUCAAUGUGUUGCAGUGCACAUGAUCAGCGACAUACCUUUUUGCCAGCAGCCCCCACAGCCGCCUUCUUGGUGCCUCGUACUUUCUUCAUUCUGUUCUUUCGCUCCUUGCGCUGUUUCCUGGAGGACUUCUUCUUCUCAUACAGACCAUGCUGAAAAA